UGCACCGUCGCACAUAGCCACUAUUUAGCUCAUAAAUAGACCGACUACGAACAAACCAUGUUUAGCCCAGAAUAACCUUGAAUUUAAUAAAAUGUUGUUUUUGCCAAAAUAACUUGCAAGAUGUAUGAUAUUUCAUCAGGCAUGCAAAGACACCAGUGAAUUCAAGAUGUUUGGUUUUAUUUAUCUUAUCUGAAUAUCUGCUGUCACGCAUAACAUUCAUUAUUGAUAUACAAAAUCCAGUUACAACUCCGAACCGCUAGAUGGCAGCUGCAGUACACAAACACGAGGCCAAAUCUGGCGAGAAAGAUUUCCGGUGUUUGAAAAUCAACAACACCGACCAGCGAGCAGCCAAGGGGAAAGCAAUCUUCCACACUCGUUUGGUCUUGUGUCAAAGCUGUGUGAAACUGGAGGGAGAAACUUGAGAGACCAUGCCGGAAGAAUGCUGGACAGAGUUCCAUAAAAUUCAUUAAUUUCAAAGUUCAACAUGAAUGGUGGUAGUCCACUGCAGAAGCAAGCAUUUGAAAAAACAUCAGUUCUCAGUUAUUAAAGAUGCUGUGUUGAACAACUUCCCAGCAGCAACAGAACUGGAAGUGAAGGAUGCAAUGGGGGCAUUUCAAACAGGCACCGGGGGGGGGGGGGUAUAGAAAUUAGUACAAUUAAUAAGUUGAAGUGAACUGAAGAUAAGUUUGUUAAUGUUUAGAUGUUAUUUCAUUUUUAAAAUUUUAUUUUGUUAUUUAUGCUUUUAUUUUGUUACUGUUUUUAUUCUUUUUGUUAAAAGUAGUUUUUCAUUUUGUCUUAUCUGAAUUUCUAUUGUAUUAACAAUAUUUCUUGUAAUAAAUUGCAUGAUUACAUGUUUAUGAGAACCUUUUUUAAUGGAUUAAAAAUAAUUCUUUAGCCA